rnacentral:rRNA from 1 species
GUGGUGAAGCUGUUGAUGCCACGCUUCCAGGAAAAGCCUCUAAGCUUCAGGUACUUGUCGACCGUACUCGAAACCGACACAGGUGGUCAGGUAGAGAAUACCAAGGCGCUUGAGAGAACUCUGCUGAAGGAACUAGGCAAAAUAGUACCGUAACUUCGGGAGAAGGUACGCUCUUGGAUGUGAAGGACUUGCUCCGUAAGCAUCUGAGAGUCGCAGUGACCAGCUGGCUGCAACUGUUUAUUAAAAACAUAGCACUCUGCAAACACGAAAGUGGACGUAUAGGG